AGUAGGGAAUAUUGGACAAUGGGUGAGAGCCUGAUCCAGCCAUGCCGCGUGCAGGAAGAAGGCGUUAUGCGUUGUAAACUGCUUUUGCCAGGGGAUAAAAAAGGCGUGCGCGCCUAAUUGAAGGUACCUGGUGAAUAAGCCACGGCUAACUACGUGCCAGCAGCCGCGGUAAUACGUAGGUGGCAAGCGUUGUCCGGAUUUAUUGGGUUUAAAGGGUGCGUAGGCGGCCCUGUAAGUCAGUGCUGAAAUAUCCCGGCUUAACCGGGAGGGUGGCAUUGAUACUGCAGGGCUUGAGUACAGAUGAAGCAGGCGGAAUUGACGGUGUAGCGGUGAAAUGCAUAGAUAUCGUCAAGAACACCGAUAGCGAAGGCAGCUUGCUAAGCUGUAACUGACGCUGAGGCACGAAAGUGUGGGGAUCAAA
rnacentral:rRNA from 1 species